rnacentral:lncRNA from 1 species
CUAUUUUUCAGGACAGUUCAGAUUGCUGAACACACCAGGGUGGAACCACGCGCGAUCAACCUCCAUUUUUUACAGGUGUAAUGUGGAGCCCUCCCUGAGGCUUUUAGGCAACCCUGGCCGCUAUUUAACGAAAACUCAAGGAUACCUAUACAUCAGGACUCGAUCGGGUUGUGGGCCGCUCCAGGGACAACUC